rnacentral:rRNA from 1 species
AGAGUUUGAUCCUGGCUCAGAGUGAACGCUGGCGGCAGGCCUAACACAUGCAAGUCGAACGGCAGCACAGCAGUAGCAAUACUGUGGGUGGCGAGUGGCGGACGGGUGAGGAAUGCGUCGGAAUCUGCCUUUUUGUGGGGGAUAACGUAGGGAAACUUACGCUAAUACCGCAUACGACCUACGGGUGAAAGUGGGGGACCUUCGGGCCUCACGCAGAUAGAUGAGCCGACGCCGGAUUAGCUAGUUGGCGGGGUAAAGGCCCACCAAGGCGACGAUCCGUAGCUGGUCUGAGAGGAUGAUCAGCCACACUGGGACUGAGACACGGCCCAGACUCCUACGGGAGGCAGCAGUGGGGAAUAUUGGACAAUGGGCGCAAGCCUGAUCCAGCCAUGCCGCGUGUGUGAAGAAGGCCUUCGGGUUGUAAAGCACUUUUGUCCGGAAAGAAAUCCUUUCGAUUAAUACUCGGGAGGGAUGACGGUACCGA